CGUUUACUUUUUCAUGAUUUUAUUUUACUUUUCAGUUAUUAUUCCAGGUGUGUGACGUGUACGACGGGGAGUGAUUAUACUACAGUGCACACUUGGAGGUCAGAGGACAAGUUGUACAGUCCUCUUCUUCUUCAAGUCUCCCUGCUCAGGCCAGCCUCAAACUGCCCAGCACAGAGGUCGAUGAAUGAUGUCUGUUCUCAGUGGGAAAUCAUUACACCCUUUUUUCGGGAAACAAUUGUUAAAUCCAGAAGCGGAAGAAGCUGGAGCCAGCUGUUCCCUGUGCGGGUCAUCUGUGUGCAUGCAGCAUGGUGCAUGCGGCAGGAUGCAUGUGUGGAGGUCAGAAGACAACAUGCAGAAGCUGGUUCUUCUCUUCUUCCACGUGGGACCCCAAGAUCAAACGCGCGUCCCUGGGCCUGGCAGCCUCCGCUCUCCUGUCCUUUUGUAUUGUGGUUUAUGGUUUUCAUAUUAAGUGUUGACGACUUAGCUCCUGGCUGGUAGCACUACACAGAGGUGUGGCCAGUAAGGGUGAUCGUUCACAGAUGAGCUAAUCCAUUCUAGAGUAGUCAAACAGGUCACUUGGGGCACAGCUGGGAA